GCUACAAGUCACUCAAGGAAGGAGAGAAGUUCCUCAGUUUCACACAAAAUCCAAAGAAGAAGAACACGGAACUAUAAUGAGCGAUCCAAAAUCCAAGUUCUUGGAAGUGUAUUCACUCCUCAAAUCUCAGCUGCUAAAUGAUCCUGCUUUUGAAUUCACUGAUGUCUCUCGCCAAUGGAUCGAUCGUAUGUUGGACUAUAAUGUACCUAGAGGAAAGCUGUACCGAGGACUGGCUGUCAUUGAUUGCUACAAGUCACUCAAGGAAGGAAAAGAAUUGACUGAAGAGGAAAUUCUUCUUGCUAGCGUGCUUGGUUGGUGUGUUGAAUGGCUUCAAGCAUGUGCAGUGGUUCUUGAUGACAUCAUGGAUAACUCUCAUACACGCCGUGGUCGACCCUGCUGGUUCAGACUACCAAAGGUUGGUUUUAUAGCUAUAAAUGAUGGAAUACUUCUCCUCAGUCAAGUCCACCGAAUUCUGAAGAUGUAUUUCAGAGAGAAGCCUUACUAUGUGCAUCUGCUGGAUUUAUUUAAUGAGGUGGAAUUCCAGUCAAUCUCUGGAGAAAUGAUAGAUUUAAUUUCCACACAUGAAGGAGCAAAAGAUCUAUCAAACUACUCAUUGUCACUGUAAGUGAAAACAUAUACUGAUUGUGUUUUUCUAAAUUAUUAAAUGGUUAUUAAACAGGUUUUCUUUUUUGGUUUUACGUUUCAUACAGUUAUCACCGCAUUGUUGAGUACAAAAGUGCUUAUUAUUCAAUUUAUCUUCCAGUUGCAUGUGCAUUGCUUAUGGCAGGUGAGAAUCUUGAGAACCAUGUUGAGGUGAAGAAGAUCCUUGUUAAAAUUACAAUCUAUUUUCAAGUACAGGAUGAUUAUCAAGAUUGCUUUGGAGAUCCCAAAGUGACUGGUAAGGUUGGAACAGAUAUUGAAGAUUGCAAGUGCACUUGGUUUGUUGUGAAAGCACUGGAACUUGCUAAUGACGAACAAAAAAAAUUGUUACAUGAAAAUUACGGGAGAGCAGAUCCAGCCAGUGUUGCAAAAGUGAAAGAUCUCUAUCAAGUUCUUGAUCUUCAGGGUAUAUAUGCGGAGUAUGAGAGGGAGACUCAUGAGAAGCUAUCAGAGGCCAUUAAAACUCAUCCAAAUAAAGCAUUGCAGGCUUUAUGGGGAAGAUUCACAGGAACCAGAUGGACAGUUGAUAGAGCAGGGAAUGCUGCCGGGAACAAAUGAGAAUCAGAGAUAUAUUUCUUUGCACCUAUUACCAGCAUUUGCCUAGUUCUUGGUCUUUCAGAAUGAAACUGAUUAAGCUACUGUUUUUACUCUAAAAUGAGCUGAGGAUUAACAUCUUCCAUGGCUACAUGAAAUGCCUGAAAAUUUUGUUGAAUUGAUGUCUAGAAAAUUGUCAACCUUUCUUUUUCAAUCUCAAACAAAAUAAAUUAGCAUGAGAGCUCCUGAUAUGCAGCAAAUGUCUCCUUCUAACUUAUAUUUCAAUAUAAUGGAAUUAUUUU
rnacentral:misc_RNA from 1 species